GAUCCUCCUUCAAGCAGCCAAUCACUAUUUGUAGUUUUGUUCCUACAGACGCUGUGUGAGACCUGCCUGCAAAUUCAGCAUCUGAAUGAAAGCAGGGCUUUGGGUCCCUGGCAUUCUGGACAAACAUCUUCAGCCCUCAGGUGCACUGUGUAUUCUCAAGGCAAACUCACGGACUGGGAUGAAAAAUUUCAGAUCUUCCUAAAGAAUGCUUCACUCAAAAAUUACCCAAUUGGCUGCCCAGCUUCUGACAGUCCCAGGGAUCUGUGGAAGAUGCUCUCCUUUUAAUUGUGAAGAAAAUGCUCUUUGCAUCAAGUGCUGUGGAAACCAGGCAAGCAUGAACUGCAAGGUAAGAGACACAAAACUAAACAAAAAUUCCAAAGGUAGAGUGUGCUCUUGUGAAUGGCUGUAAAUACCUUUGUUGAAAUAUCAACUGGGCACUCAGGAGGUGUCUGAGGGAUUCACCCAGGACAAGGAAUGUAGAGGGUUUACUUUUCCUCUCCAGACCACAGGCUCUUUCAGGUGCUCUCAUGGCAGCCUGGGUCCUGAUCUGGUACUGUUGACAUCCACAGAGGAAUACAUUGUGUACCCAACCUAAAAAAAAGCCAGAUCCAGCACAACACAAUUGUGGAUACUCCUCUCCUGGAGUUAUUAAUGAUGAUAAAGAUUUUCCAGAGAUGAGUCACUGGCAAGUGUCCCUUGCUGAGCCUGAAGGACCAUUCAGGCAGUUGUCAAGCCCUGAGAAUAGCUCUGCAACUGAGUCAUUACAGAAAAUCUCAAUAUGGUUCAGGGGCUCAAGGUGUCUCAGAGCUGUUCAGAGAGGUCAGGAUGGGAUGGCAGUCUUUACAUCACAUAUAUUUGCAGUGUGGGACUAAAAAUUAGUGAUAGCAGGAGCACAAAAAGAGCUGAGUUGAAUCCAGUGCUUUUGUGAUAGCCCUGUAACUGCUGCUGCUUCUAUUCAGCUCUUUUUUUUCUGCUAGUUUAUUUCCACAAAGCCAUUCCCUCCAUACUGCCUGCAGCACACCACGUCCUGGCCUUGGUGCACAGCUUAUCCAGCCUCUGGCUGCUUUCAGUUGUGGAGAAUCAGUGGAGCCUGAACUUGCCACCCUCUGCAGAGGUCCAAGGCCUGUACUCACACCACCCCAGACUUUGUGAGCUAAGAGAUAAGGGACCUGUCUCCUCCACAG
rnacentral:lncRNA from 14 species